AUUGAACGCUGGCGGCAUGCUUUACACAUGCAAGUCGAACGGCAGCGGGUUCUUCGGGAUGCCGGCGAGUGGCGAACGGGUGAGUAAUGCAUCGGAACGUACCCAGUCGUGGGGGAUAACGCAGCGAAAGUUGUGCUAAUACCGCAUACGACCUGAGGGUGAAAGUGGGGGACCGGUAACGGCCUCACGCGAUUGGAGCGGCCGAUGUCUGAUUAGCUAGUUGGUGGGGUAAAGGCCCACCAAGGCGACGAUCAGUAGCGGGUCUGAGAGGAUGAUCCGCCACACUGGGACUGAGACACGGCCCAGACUCCUACGGGAGGCAGCAGUGGGGAAUUUUGGACAAUGGGGGCAACCCUGAUCCAGCCAUGCCGCGUGCGGGAAGAAGGCCUUCGGGUUGUAAACCGCUUUCGGACGGAAAGAAAUCGCAUGGGUUAAUACCCUGUGUGGAUGACGGUACCGUAAGAAGAAGCACCGGCUAACUACGUGCCAGCCGCCGCCGUAAAAC
rnacentral:rRNA from 1 species